rnacentral:rRNA from 1 species
UAACCUGGUUGAUCCUGCCAGUAGUCAUAUGCUUCAUUCAAGGGCUAAGCCAUGCAUGUCUCAGUGCACUCGGUCUUGAACAGAAGGUCUGUGAAUGGCUCCUUACUCCAGCAGUCAUCUCUGUGAUAAAGUGUGGUUGGCACCACAAGCCUGGCCCAUCGGUGCCCAGUUGGACAUCCUCUGAAAACCUUGAGGCUAAUACACGGAAGCAACAGUCGGCCACACCCAAAGGGACCCUGGGUGGGUCUCCCCUUCACCGGGGUGAUUGCCCUGUGGUCCCUGUGGUGGAUGAGACCCAGCCGGUGUGAAGACCAGCGCCCUCACCGGGCAGUGUGCUCAGGACCAUGCAUCCCCUCUGGGGACCAUGUGUCAUGUUGUGGAAUCAGGCUGGAUCCUGGAUGCCCAGACAGGAUCAAUCUGCUGGCAGAGUGUUUGUUGAAGCUGAGGGUGGUCCCUGUGGCCCCCUCUGUGAGGCAUUGCAUGAUCACAAGAACUUCUGACCUAUCAGCUGUGACUGUGGGGUAGUGGCCCACAGUGGCUGUAACGGGUAACAGAGAAUCAGGGUUUGAUUCUGGAGAGGGAGCCUGAGAGAUGGCUACCACUGCCAAGGCGGGCAGCAGGCGCGUAACUUGCCCAAUGCCAACUCAACUUUGGUGAGGCAGCGACGAAUUGCAACAAUCCUGCCGACACUCUUGUCUGUGGGACUUGUGAUGGAUGCAAUCCAAAAACCGUGAUGAGUAUCAACUGGAGGGCAAGUCUGGUGCCAGCAGCUGCGGUAAUUCCAGCUCCAAGGGCGUAUACUAUCAUUGCUGCUGUUAAAACACCUGUAGUCUGCCACUGGGUUGCAGGUCCAUCAAGGGCCAAAGCAUGGUGGGCCUCCUGGCCCUGUCGGGGGUCCUCCCCCACAGGCUGGGCAGGCUGCCUGUUCUUGGAUCCCAACCCUUGGUGGUCAGUCCCUGCACCCACUGUUUGUUGUUUCUACAACCUGCCGGUGUGACCUCUCAGCUCCUGCUGAAAGUCUUCUUCACUGAAGGCCCAGGCGGUUCUGCCCUGCAUGCAGGCUAUUGGAGCGGCUUGUCGGUCCACAUGGGCUCCCAGGCCCUGCCCUCCUGUUGUGUCUCAAGACACAGUGGGUCUCUGGGCAGUGGUGUCUGCUGGAAGCCCCCCGGUGGUCCUGAGGUCCCCAGCCCUCAAAAGCUGUUGGGACCCAAGUCCUCCAGCCACCGGAGCCCGCCGGCUGUGAGAUCCUGGAAAACUCAGUGUGCUCAAGGCAAUCCGUUCUAUCAUCUGACUGGCUGAAUGACCAUCCAUGCAAUCUCAGAGGAACGACCUGUGACUGUGGCUAAAUCGUGUUGUGCUGGCCUUGGUUCCCAUCCAGGGCAAUGUGGUGCAUGGCUUCCUUGCCUCCCAGAGGGGUGUCUCUCCCUGGGAAAACUGUGGUGGGUUUCUUCCCAUUCCAAAGGUGCGAUCCCCAUGAGCAGCAGGCCCCUUCAAGGGGUGACUAUGCAUGUGUCAACCGAAUCUGAUGGGACACCCCCCGGGGUGAAGGAUAUUGAUGUGCUAGAGGUGAAAUUCUCAGACCACAUCCAGAUCAACUGCAGCAAAGGCGCUUUGCAAGACUGUGUCCGUCAAUCAAGGAUGAGAGUUCGGGGAGCAAAGAGGAUCAGACACCCUCGUAGUCCGGGACCGUAAACUGUGCCAGCCAGGUCCCAGUGGUGGGCACUGUGUUCACAAGACCCCACUGGGUGCCAAGCCCCCUUCAAAGAGAAAUCCACAGCCUGUGGGUUCAGGGGGGAGUACUGUUGCAAGGCUGAAACUUAAAGGAAUUGACGGAGUGGCACCACAAGGCGUGGGUUAUGCGGCUUAAUUUGACUCAACGCGGGGAAAUCUUACCAGGUCAGGACGCAGUCUGGAUGGACAGAUUGAGAGCUCUUUCUUGAUCCUGUGGAAGGUGGUGCAUGGCCGCUCCUGAUUGGUGGAGUGAUUUGUCUGGUUGAUUCCGAUAACGAGUGAGACAUCUGCCUCCCAGUAGCCUGAGUCUCGCAAAUUGUAGGGGAGUGGCCAGGGUCCUUGUCGGGGUCCCGACCCAUCCCGCCCCUCGGGGCUGUGGUUGGGCUGGUGUUUUGCCCCUGGCCCUGGCCCCCUGAGAGGCUCCAGUGUUCCUUAGCUUCUCUGAGGUGCUAUGCAUGCCAUCCAAAUGCAAGUAUGCUAGAGCCAACAGCAGGUCUGUGAUGCUCCCAAAUGUCCUGGGCUGCACGCGCAACACACUGAUCCAGUGAAGGAGUCUUGAGGUGCCUGCUUUUGUCAGGCCCUGGCCAAAAGUGGUCCUGGGAAACCCUGUGAAUCUGGAAGCCAUCGUGCUGGGGAUAGAUGAUUGCAACUGUCUGCCUUGAACGUGGAAUGCCUAGUAUGCGUUGGUCAUCAGCCAACACAGAUUGUGUCCCUGCCACUUGUACACACCGCCCGUCGUUGCUACCGAUGAUUCCUGGACAGAACCAUCAGGAGGUCAAUCCACCCCCCCUGUGGGGGUGCUGCCCAACAGCCAAAAUUGGGUGAUGUCCAGCAGUUAGAGAAGCAAAAGUCGUAACAGGUUGCUGUAGGUGAACCUGC